rnacentral:lncRNA from 1 species
AAUUUGCAGGUUGAGACUGGGGUGAUUCUGAUCUACUGCUGUGCUGCUCCUAGGGUGUCUUCUGCAGAUGUGACAUUGGUGAUCCGGUGACUCUUCCUGCUCAAGGAAAGCAAUGAGUGGCAGCAGAGGUGCUCAUGAUCUGCCAGCAGACUUGGGAAGGCAAUGAGACAAUGAGGACGUCUUAAAGAGUUGCAGAUGGAUGGAAACAAUCUGUGUACCUCACAUUUGGCUUAAUGUACCUACAGGCUCAUUUUGGAGAGAAAUCAUCAUGAUGUCGUUUGCCCAUGGAUGGAUGUCUCAUCUGUCUCACUUAUAUUUCCUGUUGACCUGCUCUAUCCUGACCCGUUCUGACAGCCAUUGCUUACCAUUCUGGUUCCCAGCCAUUGCCGGUGUGGAACUACAGAGGAGUACUCAAGGGAAGAGGCAAAUCCAGAGUAUUCUUUGCUGUAAACCUGCUUGGUCCCUGGUAAAGACCUGCCUGUGUCAUUCUCUUCUACCCUGAUAAAGGAAGAUAUUUUUUUGAACUAUGAUAGUACAGUUUUCACUUUCUUUCAUCAAGUGUAGACACACUUCGGAUGCUAU